AAUAGUGCUCAUGGUUUAUUCCUAACUCUGUGCUCAGGGAAGACUCCUGGCAGUGCUCAGGGGACUGUACCCAAUGCUGUGAACUGAAGUGAGGACAGCCUUCUGCAAGUGCUGCUCAGCUGAUGAGUGCAUGAGCAUAUGAAAUGUAAACAACUAUCAUGGCAAGAGAAACGCUCUUCAAAUUUGUGUGUGAAGUGAAAUAAGUCACCUGGAAGUCAUUUCACCUACCAGCUACAGACACUGACCCGAUGGAGGUACUCGAUGGAGGCAUUGUAAUGGGGUUAACAUAUUUGUGUUUGUCACCUUCUCAAGUGAAACCAACCCUGUGGGUUUAGAGACAAACCAAUCAAGAAAUAAAGAGCUGUGGCGCCUAAAGACUUUGAUUCCAAAGAUGUAACACAUUCGGGCAUGGAGCGCAGCAUCCGAGAGCGAUGCACUGGGACACCAAACUGGGCUACAACUCGGUGCUGCCG